GCGCACCCGUGCAGGCACCCGCACAGCUCGUGCUGGAGUGGCAGGAUCAUGACAUAUAUGAAUAGUCAGGAAUCAUCAAAAACCUCUUUGACAGUAUUAUGGAUAGCAAGCAGAAAACAUUUUUCUUCUCAACAAAAUAUAGGGGAAUUAGUUGGACCCAAGAAUUGUUCUUACCUUCAUAGCUAGCACCAGACUCCUGAAUUGGGUUUACUGCUUCCUGUUGUGUUUCCAGCAAUUGCUGAUCGACAAGGAUUGUACAAUGUCGCAACAUACCGGUAGUUUAUCCUGCCGCUGAUGGAUAUAAAUAGUUGACUGUGGUACGCUAUGUUGCAUGGUGAUUGCAGACUCAGUCAGUAUACACACACGGGGUUUCCAAAUGGCCUGGGAUUUGCAUCAUAUGCCAAUCCUAAUGCUGAAAGAAUGCCAACCCCACCC